UACGUAGGGUGCAAGCGUUAAUCGGAAUUACUGGGCGUAAAGCGUGCGCAGGCGGUUUUGUAAGUCUGUCGUGAAAUCCCCGGGCUCAACCUGGGAACGGCAUUGGUGACUGCACGGCUAGAGUGUGUCAGAGGGGGGUAGAAUUCCACGUGUAGCAGUGAAAUGCGUAGAGAUGUGGAGGAAUACCGAUGGCGAAGGCAGCCCCCUGGGAUGACACUGACGCUCAUGCACGAAAGCGUGGGGAGCAAACAGG
rnacentral:rRNA from 1 species